UACGUAGGGUGCAAGCGUUUGUCCGGAAUUAUUGGGCGUAAAGAGCUCGUAGGCGGUUUGUUGCGUCGGCUGUGAAAUCCCGAGGCUCAACCUCGGGUCUGCAGUCGAUACGAGCAGACUAGAGUGUUUGCAGGGGGAGACUGGAAUUCCUGGUGUAGCGGUGGAAAAUGCGCAGAUAUCAGGAGGAACACCGGUGGCGAAGGCGGGGUCUCUGGGGCCUGUACUG
rnacentral:rRNA from 1 species